GUAUAAGAGACAGGUGAAUCAUCGAAUCUUUGAACGCACAUUGCGCCCGCUAGUAUUCUGGCGGGCAUGCCUGUUCGAGCGUCAUUUCAACCAUCAAGCCCCUGUGCUUGUGUUGGAGCCCUGCGGCUGCCGCAGGCUCCCAAACCCAGUGGCGGGCUCGUCGUCGUACCGAGUGCAGUAAAUUUACCACGCUCAGGGCACGCGAUGGGUGACCGGCCGUAAAACCCCCUACUUCUCAAAGGUUGACCUCGGAUCAGGUAGGAAUACCCGCUGAACUUAAGCAUAUCAAUAAGCGGAGGA
rnacentral:misc_RNA from 1 species